rnacentral:rRNA from 1 species
GUGAGGAAUUUUCCGCAAUGGGCGAAAGCCUGACGGAGCAAUGCCGCGUGAAGGAUGAAGGCCUAUGGGUUGUAAACUUCUUUUCUCAGAAAAGAAUUAUGACGGUAUCUGAGGAAUAAGCAUCGGCUAACUCUGUGCCAGCAGCCGCGGUAAGACAGAGGAUGCAAGCGUUAUCCGGAAUGAUUGGGCGUAAAGCGUCUGUAGGUUGUUUAAAAAGUAUUCUGUCAAAGAUUAGGGCUUAACCCUAGAUAGGCAGAAUAAACUUUUAAGCUAGAGUUUGGUAGAGGCAGAGGGAAUUCCCGGUGGAUCGGUGAAAUGCGUAGAUAUCGGGAGGAACACCAAAGGCGAAGGCACUCUGCUGGGCCAAUACUAACACUGAGAGACGAAAGCGAGGGGAGCAAAUGGGAUUAGAUACCCGGGUAGUCC